GAAACCGCAAAGGGCUUGGGCAGCGUGCUGGGUCUCACACAGCCCUUCGGGAUUCGGCAGCAGGAGGACAGUCAGGAUCCUCUGAAGGCAUUUGCCACGACAAAUGGACAUCAAGAACCGCUAUCCUUCUCUUCUGCCAAAGGGCAUACUGAGCAUGGUUCCUAAUAUUGACGUGGGACGAAAAGUCAGUUUGCAAAUUACUUAAUGUGAGAAGUCUCAGAAUGAGAGGCGGAGGGAGGAAAUGGAAGGAGGGCAUCAUCAAGAAAAACAGCCUACAGCAUGGGAGAAAAUAUUUGCAAAUCAUAUAUCUGUCAAAGGACUUGUAUCUGGAGUAUAUGAAGAACUCUUACCAUUUAGCAAUAAAAAGACAAAUAACCCAAUUUAAAAAUGGGCAGAAGACUUGACUAGAAAUAGCCCUAACAAAGGGG
rnacentral:lncRNA from 1 species